AUCUUUGCGCUUGGGACAAUAACGCAGCUAGUGAGGUUCUAACCGAGGUGUGUCUAUUGCUGGUUGAAAACUAUUUUCAAACCCCCUCUGAGGCCUGGGAUUGGAAAUAGUCCUAAGAUAAUAGUUCAAUUUUUUUUUU
rnacentral:snRNA from 1 species